rnacentral:lncRNA from 1 species
GGCAGCCCCAGAAAACUCACAUAGGUAGGGACUAGGCUGGCUUUGGUGUAUCACUGCAGUCUCAGAGCUCAGUACUGAGUAGGUGCUCACUGAAUUUUCCCUGGAGGGUGUGGAGGUGCUGGGGGUGGGGUCAGCAGCACCAGGAUUGCUUCAGUUUCCAUCUGCUGCUUUUCCUCCAGGGUUGCUCCCAGAACCACCCUUUCCUGUUUGCAGGCCUGAGCCGUGGCUGCACGUCUUUAUGCCCCUCCUGGUUAAGACAUUGUGAUGGUUAAUGUUAGGUGUCAACUUGACUGGGUUAAGAGUCCCCAGAUAGCUGUGAACAUUACUUCUGGGUGUCUCUGGGAGGUGUUUCCAGGUGAUAUUAGAGAUAGAGCCAUAGACUAAGAAAAUCUGCCCUCACCCACGUGGGCAGGCAUCAUCCAAUCCAUUAGGGCAUGACGAGGAGAAAAAGGAGAAAAGAGGAAUUUGCUCCUUCCUUUUGGGCUAGAAUAUCUGUGUUUUCUUGUCCUCAGACGGUGAAACUCCUGGUUCUCGAUACUUUGCACUCGGACAGGGAGUUAUAACAUUGGCUCUUCUGGUUUUCAGGCCUUUGGACUCAGAUGGAAUUAUACCACGGGGUUUCCUGGAUCUCCAGUAUGCAGAUGGCAGAUUGUGGAACUUCUCAGCCUCCAAAAUCGAGAUAACUUUGGCAUCAACUCGGGACAGCUCAUGCACAAAAAUGCAAGAUCCAUUAGGCCAGGCAGAGAAGAGAGUCCAGGCUGCCUUCACCCAGCCAGUGUCUGUCGUGUUCCAGAAGACGUCCGAUUUGGUCAAGGCCAACCACCAUCUGCCAAAAAUUAGAGAAUGUCAGUACCCUUGGCAAUGACUCUACCUUUAAAAAGGAUUGUAUUAUCUAUAUCACCACAUUUGGAGCCCUGCU